AACUAAGAUGCGUCAAAAUUAACCAUAUGACGUCUCGUUGCCAAAUUGUAUUGCAAUGGGUGUUGGAUUUUUUUGAAUACAGAUUAGCAGUUUACAGAUUAAUGAAGACAUUUCCAGUGUUGCAAAUUACAAUUCAUUCCUUUUGGUGAGUAAAAUAUGGUACAUGGAUUUUUCAUCAGUCUCGGCAUUGGGGCUUUUAAGUUUUGCAACUCUUUUUUCUCAAGAGGUAAGCAGAUUAAUUAAUUCAUCCGAAUCGAAGGUUAAAGUGAUCUUUUUUUAUUACCUAUUUUUCGUCUUUUGUCCGUCUAUUAUACUAUCUGUCAGUUAACUUUACACUUUGACUUAUUUCCUGGAACCACUGAGCCAAAUUUAACCAAACAUGACGUCACGUUUCCAAAUGUUUUGCAAUGGGUGUUCAAUGUAUUCUUUUAAGAGGAUACUUAAUCGGUAAAAAAAGACCAAACAUUUUUUAAAAGGGAAACCAUCGCAAAAUUGUCAAAAUAGAAUACGUCUCCUAAAAAUUCUUCUCACAAACUACGAUGCUACAAUUGGUGAUAUUGUUUAACGACGUUACGACUGAAGUCGAGCGCAGCAUUAAUUUGAAUUAAAUACGCACAGGAACGUACGAUUCAUAAUGACGAAUAAAGGCGUGAUUUACCGAACGGAUGCAUUAUCGUGAUAAAAAAAGAAUAAAAAUAGAAUAUUAAACGCACCAGUAUACAUGUAUAAACAUUAAUGUUUAACAGUGUUGCCGUUUGGAGGGCCCUUCCUGUUUUACAGUGUGGCUGUUUGGAGGGCAAAGCCAAUACAAUUAUCAUAAUUUUACUUUCAGAUUCAUUGGAUAAGUGCACAGUUGGGUUUGCCUAUCUAUUUAUUCAUUACGCGGUAAUAAUUGCGUGCUCAGUCCAGACAUUAUGACGUAAUGUUUAAGAGCAAAGAUCACUAGACAAGUUCCGUCAAAGUAGCAGUGCUUCGACCAAGAAAACAGAGUAAAAUAAUUAGUGAAAUUAUUGUUUGAAUUACCAGAAUGUUUUAUUAUUCAUUUUACUUAUAAGACAUGUUUACCUGUUCGCGCGAGAAAAUAGCCAGAAACAAUCUACACGGAAUAGGGAGUUAUAAAGAAAAAUAUAACACGCGUUGUUAAAAAUCUUUUGUGUAGAUAUAAUUUAUUUAUUGGAUUGGCUAUUAAUAACGCAAAUAAAUACAUGUCGACUUAAAUCAUCGGUAGUGAGACACUUUUUUCUUUUGAAAUGAUGGUGAUUGUAAUGGUAUUAAUUAAUUCCAACCCUCACAAUAUACCGUAUACCUGCUUUGAAAUGAAAGUGCAUUUUUUUGCCAAUUCUUUUCUUCUUCAAUUGCAUGCUUAUAAUGACAUUAAGUGAUUGUUCUCAUGCAAACAACUAUGAAAAAUGUGAUCAAGGUAAUGUUAUGAAGAUAGGUGAUAAUAAUGGUCAAUAUGAAUAAAUACAUUAAGAUUAGAUGCUUGAUUGGUUCAUUUUCAAGUGGACAUUAGGCAGAAAAUGGAACACGUCCUUCAUGUUUCUAAGCAAGGAAAGAUGACCCCGUCCCAUGGUCAAACAAAGAGUGAAACCGGAAAAAGCCUUAAACUGGGCGGGCAACUAAAAAGACCCUUCAAAAUACAGACAAAUGUUGAAGUUCUGCGAGGACGAGUCAAUAUUAGAAAAAACAUGGUCACCGAAUCAAGUUUCCGAAAUAAAACAAUCGAUUGCAACUGGAUGACAAAAAUAUUACAAUGCAUGAAAUGCAUCCAUUGGAAACUCUUGCUGUGUACACCUAUUACUUUAAUCAAGAAUGUUUGAUUAAUUGUUAAAACAUGGGACUGGUAAACACAAAUUCGUGGGCCUCAACUUUACCAGCUUGUAUCGAGGUAACCACAGGACUGUACUACAAAAACAAUAGACAAAAUCCAGUGUCAUGAAAACAUACAACCAGACAGAAAGCUGUAGUACCGGCAAUACGGGGAUAAUCAUCUGCGGAGAAUAAGUUUGAAGACGCAAAGCUAAAAAAACUAACCAAUUUUGCGUAACAACAGCUGUUAAAAGUUUAUAGACAAAAAUUUAUUUUUAUGUGAAUCCAAAACAAUCCGAACAUGCAUGGUUUUAUUUCAAAGUUUUAAACUGAAAUAAAUUACAUUGUACAUGGGUAAAAACAAAGUAAACAAAAUUUAGCGCUUCUACUUAAACUUCUUAAGAAACAAUAUAAAAGACCAACUACAUUGUAAACAGGUUUAGUUUACAUUCAUAAAUUUAAUUUCAAUUUAUCUAAACGGAAAACAGCCAUCAAAUGUAAUAUAGCACGCCAUUAUGUUAAAAAUGAUAAGGCCUCGAUCAAGUGUUGCUGAAACUUAAUUGCUUAGAUCCUAGUUUAUUUAUCAAACAAAUCCAAAAAGAUCAUAUCAGAUGAAUAUAUUUGUGUCUACCCCAAGAAAACGGAAUACGGUCUUCAAAUAGCGGUAGUAUUAGGUGGGAUUUCAAACAAAAACGAUCAAACUUAAGGAUUCUUUAUUCUUGAUAUAAUACAAAUGCAUUAGUACGAACUGCUAUGACUAUAUUCUAACAUAUAAUGAUAUUUUAAUCGGUAAAACACCUUCAUAUGAUAAUGAAUAUAUAUUAAUAAAUAUGUGUCAUGAAUUAUAAUUUUUUUCUGCAGAUAGCCCUUAUAGAGCUGAUCAAAAAUCGUAAAAGGUCUUCGAUUUAAGUAUCUUUCAGGUCAGUUAAAAAGCAUAACUUUUUAUUCAAACAAUUCCACAUCUCUCUCUAGAGGUAAACUUUAUUAUACUGAUACAUAUGUGUACUUUAUUUCUCGACAAUGAAUGUAUCUUAAUUUUUUGCAAAGUCCAGACUGUUGACUUAAAUUGUGUUGGACAAGAAAAAUGGAAACUUAACGACCCUUUGUCUUGUGAAUGAAGUGAAAAUUUUCUUUUUUUCUCUACUUGUACAUGUACGUGUUCACACAACCCUUAUCGUGGAGAAAUCCAAUCCUUCAUAUAUCUGAUUAAGGAAACUCGAAUAUAAAUUAAAAAUGCAUGUUCAGAUUUGAUCAAAUAAGCCAUGACCAAAAAUGCUAAUGAAUUAACUUUCAUAUUAAACCAACUUCUUCUAAAAUAGCCAUCAUUAAUAAAGAGGAAAUAAUAGUUUUAAUGAUAAACUGGUCUCACUCUAACGUGUUGUCAGCUGUAACAACCACUUCAAAAUGAUGUAAUUCUAGAGGUUGGAAUCCAAAUACAAUUUGAUUUAUUACAAGUUACAAGUUCAUGGCUCACACUUUUUCUCUUUAACAACGAUGCCGAGUGUUACUUUAUGCUGUCAUUUUUCAUCCCCUCUCACAUUUACCAUUAUAUGCAAAAUUAAGUUAUUCAGAUUUAUUAGUUUAUUUCUGUUCUAUCGUUCUUCAUGGCAAUGCGCGUUUAUGUGUAGUUAUGUGUGUAAGUGGGUAAGCGUUACAUGGAGAACUCGCAUAAUUUAAGCUUACAUACACCCUCCUGAACUCUACGAAGUAUGUUUAGCUCAGAAUUGUAAUUUACCAAUGUAUGCAAAAUUAAGUCAUUCAGAUUUAUAAUUUUAUUUCUGCUAUAUACUGUUCAUCUGCGUUUACGUGUAG